rnacentral:lncRNA from 1 species
CUCAGAUACUAAAUUUAAAUGACAACUAACACCAAAUUAAUAGUUAGUGAUGUGCUUGAAUGCCUGUAAUAUCAGUUCUCCAAUCACCUCGUGAUGACAUGCAGAUAAUUCUCCCCAGUGCUAUUUCUCUUCUUUCUUUCUACUGAUUUGUAUUUCAUUUGUCACUCAUGCAUCUCGGUGCUUGUUUGCUCUUCCAGCUGUUGCAGCCACUGAGAGUCUGGUUUAUCUCCUUUAAAAUCCUUCAGCUCCUUUACACACUGCUUGCUAAGGAGUGCUCUCUACUUAAAAAAUUCUGAGGAACAACCUGGCUUUUUUGAGAUGACCAAGUUUACUGCCUUUUUAGCAUUUUUUCCCAGUAAUUACAUCUUAUUCUGGACAUCUGUCAAGGCUGUUCCUAGUAGUAAAAUUUCCCAACAUUUCUACCUGGGACUGGUUCAUAUCCCCAUCCCAUAUGAUCUUUUUGUCUAACUGCUAUGGUGUGCAGAGGACAGAUAACUCAGAAAAACUGUAAACAUUCAGCCCAGGAAUUCAUACAAUUUCUGACAUCGCUGUAGCAACCAGUAUUAGCAGCUCUGAGAGGCUGAAUUUACCUUAGUUGUAAACAAACACCUUGCCUUGCCACUCAAGUAAAUGUCUUCUAACUUCCUUGUACCUUUCCAAUAUAAUGAGGAAGAAAUGAAUAUAAAGAUAAAUGUAUAAAGAACAUUUGGUGAAUUUGGUCCAGAAUUCAAUACCCUGGAGAUCAGGAACUGUGUGAAUCUUCCAGCUGAGUAAUUACCUUGCUAAAUAAUUUCUGUCACCAGAGCUUCAGGGUCACUGAGUAGACAAGACAAAACCAUCAACACCAGAGACUGUUAAGAAACCAUUUCACAAAACAAGAGCAAUUUUCAUUGUUUUUCUCACUGCUAUAAAGCAAGCAGAUGAUUUUCCAUUGCCUGCAUUGUACCUUUUCUGUGCAUCAUGCUGCAAAACUCAACUAUUAGGAGACAGGUAAUGGCCUGGAAACCUUCCUACACUUCACUAGGACUUCAGCUGCACCAGGAACUUGUAGCUGUGUGGCAAAAGGAGUCAGUGUCUUCCCUUUAAAUGCCAAUGCAUAAACUAGACAUCACCCCAGCAAAUGACCAUGUCUGAAUGCACUCCAGCUGGUGACACACAGCUCUGCCAAGUCAGCCCAGGUCUUGACCCACACAAUUAAGCACUUGUUGAUGGUUAUGGCAGAGCUUGGUGGAGACUAUGCUUUCAUGAUGACCCUCUGGAAAUAUUCACUAGUGCCUGUGGCCCACCCUAUGCUCCAUUUACUGCUCCUGGAUCCAGCAUGAGCCCACAGCAAUUUGUGGGAGAUGAUGUACUUUUUCACGGGGCUA